AGGACGAACGCUGGCGGCGUGCUUAACACAUGCAAGUCGAGCGAGGCCCCUCCUUCGGGAGGGUGUCCUAGCGGCGAACGGGUGAGUAACACGUGGGCAACCUGCCCUCAGCUCUGGGAUAACCCCGGGAAAACCGGGGCUAAUACCGGAUACGACCUCCACGGGCAUCUGCGGAGGUGGAAAGGUUUUUCCGGCUGAGGAUGGGCCCGCGGCCUAUCAGCUAGUUGGUGGGGUGAUGGCCCACCAAAGGCGACGACGGGUA
rnacentral:rRNA from 1 species